UGACCCAAUGAUGUCUCAUUUGCUGAUGACACAAUAAUGAGCCUCAGAAGUUAUGACUUUUUGUCGAGUUAUUCUGUGGUUCUAGUCAAACCUACAGCUUUAGGGAAGGAGGAAUGGCUGUUUUGUGGUUUUCGAAACAACCAUGAUCAUGUGCAUUAUCGCUGCAGUUGGAUUCCAUCCUUAUCUGGACACAAGAAAGAUUCAAAUAAAUACUGACAAAGAAAAAGUACAACUAGCAAACAAGAGGAAAGAACACCAUAAGAAGUCCCAUUCAAAUGUCAGAUGAAAACUAUACGAGGCACUGUGCAUCAGCUGAGUACAGCAUCUCCAUGGUGACGCAUGGUGGUGGUUUGUCUUUUCCACUAGGGAAGUGGUUCAGAAUCAGUGGGGAGACGGAUGGAGCUACAUAAAAGCCAAAAGUGAGAAAAAAAAUGUAUCCGAUGCCUCGGCUUACACAGAGGGUCACCUUCCAGGAGGACAGCCUUCAUCAUACAGCCAGAGAUACAAUGCAUAGAUCUAUGCAUGUUUAUGUGUUCCAAUGGCCCAGUUAAAGUCCAGUCAUAUAUCCAAUUGAGAAUCUUUGGGAGAAAGCUACUGCCUCAUGGGUUUCACCAGUUUCAAAUUUAUGCAAAAGGAUAAAAGAAAGAAAAGAAACAAAAAAAAGUCCUUUUCAUUUUGUUUUCACAUCAUAAUUCUGCAUUACUUUGUGUUUUUCUGUCGCAAAAAGGGGAAAUAGGAGUGCUGUGUACCAUUCCAGAUAAGGUGCUUGAGUUGUUUAUGACCAGUAUGCUAAAGAUCUUGUACAGGAAGCAAACUUCUUAUCUUUCCUUGUGUAACUAUCUCAUUGUACAUAUCUCCACAUAUGUAAUCAAAUUAAAUGUGCUGACAUUUUC